AAGAAAUUAGUUAAUUCAUAACAUUAGUUUGUCAAGCUAAAAUUAUCUAAUAGAUAUUUCUUA
rnacentral:tRNA from 1 species